UGGUUCUUAUAGCUAGUAUGAUAUGGUAUGAUACGAGGCAGGUAGCGGGAUCACGCGCAACCCCCGAAGGGGAAUCGGGUUGUGAUUUCCCGAGCUGGUAUGUGGCGGUUGACGGCGACGUUAGGAAGUCCGGAGACUCCGGCGGGGGCCUUGGGAAGAGUUAACUUUUCUGCUUAACGGCCUGCCAACCUUGGAAACGGUUCAGCCGGAGGUAGGGUCC
rnacentral:ncRNA from 1 species